rnacentral:rRNA from 1 species
CCUACGUGAGGCAGCAGUGAGGAAUAUUGGUCAAUGUGCGAGAGUCUGAACCGGCCAAGUCUCGUGAGGGAGUACUGCCCUAUGGGUUGUAAACCUCUUUUGUCGGGGAGCAAAAGCCGGACGUGUCCGGCUGUGAGAGUACCCGAAGAAAAAACAUCGGCUAACUCCCUGCCAGCAGCCGCGGUAAUACGGAGGAUGCGAGCGUUUUCCGGAUGUAUUGGGUUUAAAGGGUGCGCAGGCGGAUUUUUAAGUCAGCGGUAAAAUCGUGGGGCUCAACCCCAUCCAGCCGUUGAAACUGGGGAUCUAGAGUGUGCGAGAGGUAUGCGGAAUGCGUGGUGUAGCGGUGAAAUGCAUAGAUAUCACGCAGAACCCCGAUUGCGAAGGCAGCAUACCGGUGCACAACUGACGCUCAGGCACGAAAGCGUGGGUAUCGAACAGGAUUAGAUACCCCAGUAGUC